ACGGGUGAGUAACGCGUAGGAAUAUACCUUGAAGAGUGGGGCAACUUGGGGAAACUCAAGCUAAUACCGCAUAAUGUCUGAGGACUAAAGCUGGGGACCUUCGGGCCUGGCGCUUUAAGAUUAGCCUGCGUCCGAUUAGCUAGUUGGUGGGGUAAGGGCCUACCAAGGCGACGAUCGGUAGCUGGUCUGAGAGGAUGACCAGCCACACUGGAACUGAGACACGGUCCAGACUCCUACGGGAGGCAGCAGUGGGGAAUAUUGGACAAUGGGGGGAACCCUGAUCCAGCAAUGCCGCGUGUGUGAAGAAGGCCUGAGGGUUGUAAAGCACUUUCAGUGGGGAGGAGGAUUUGUAGUUUAAGAGACGACGAAUUGGACGUUACCCACAGAAGAAGCACCGGCUAACUCCUUGCCAGCAGCCGCGGUAAUACGGAGGGUGCGAGCGUUAAUCGGAAUUACUGGGCGUAAAGGGUGCGUAGGUGGUUUGAUAAGUUAUCUGUGAAAUUCCUGGGCUCAACCUGGGGUGGUCAGAUGAUACUGCCGAACUCGAGUAUGGGAGAGGGUAGUGGAAUUUCCGGUGU
rnacentral:rRNA from 1 species